rnacentral:rRNA from 1 species
UACGUAGGGAGCGAGCGUUGUCCGGAAUUACUGGGUGUAAAGGGAGCGUAGGCGGGACGGCAAGUCAGAUGUGAAAACUGAGGGCUCAACCCUCAGACUGCAUUUGAAACUGCUGUUCUUGAGUGAAGUAGAGGUAAGCGGAAUUCCUAGUGUAGCGGUGAAAUGCGUAGAUAUUAGGAGGAACAUCGGUGGCGAAGGCGGCUUACUGGGCUUUUACUGACGUUGAGGCUCGAAAGCGUGGGGAGCAAACAGG